rnacentral:lncRNA from 1 species
GCUCAGUUGUAACGACACCGUCCCGCUCGCCACGCUGUCCCUGCGUCGCGCUCGCGUCCGCGCAGCCACACGGAAAUUCUCACGUGAAAAUUUCCGUGAAAUUUUUCGAAAUUUUCACACGGAAUAUUUCCCGCGCGUAGUGAGUGUUGUGCAUGAAUUUUCAAAAAUUUGGCAAAUUUGAAAAGAAUCGGCCAUAGUAUAGGUUAUCGAGUCGCGAGCGAUCCGCGAUCGAGUGCCAUUUGAUUGGUUUCGCGUUUGUUUCAGUUUUGUUUUUAAAUUUGUCGAAAAUACCCGCUGCGAGGUUAGUUUUGUGUGGCGUGAAGUUGGUGAUAUAAUUACUAUGGAUGCGUUUAACGGGAAAACAGGAUCCUAAAAUUGGAAUUUCAGUUAUUUGAUGGUAAUUUACAUCUUGAUCAAACUGCUACGGAUUGACGUGUAUUUGAGCUUGCAGAGGCAUGGGGCCGUGUCGAAUAUGCAGUUAUUCUCGACAAAAACGGAGGCAAACUUCAAAACUGGUCGCUCCAUCAGUGUUGAAUCAAAUUCGUCCCUAAAGCAGAUUUUCGGGACUUCUGAUGCACUUUCUGAUAAAGUCUAAAAAUCUGGAUGAUCGUUCGUGACCUUAAGCGUCUUGCAUCACCUAACAAAAGCGAAAGAUUCAGUUGCUUCUCUCAAGUAAAGAGCUCCUAUCAAUCAGUGCGUGGGAAAGUAUGGAUAGAAAAUUCAUAAAAAUAAAACCAUCUUUCAAGUUUUCUUUUAGCCAAAUGAAGCAUGAUGAAAUCAACAGAACUAGUACACGGAUAAUUUGUGUUAAUUCAGCAUUAAAUCAUGCUCAAUGUUAGUGAUUAUUGGGUUUAACCAGUAUUAACCGGUAACUGCCAUCUCGAGCACCUUUAGUAGUAUGUGAAAUCGUAUCAGAUCUUAAAUACUAUCCUGAAGUCCAGUGCCAGUUAAAUUUUGUCAGAGGAAACCAUGGUGAGUUCCAGUCAACAAAUUAGCUCGAACAAAUAUUAGCCUUGCCUGUGGCCUUCCGAUCCCAGCAAGCAUUUUCCUCGAAACUUUUUCCCCUCGAAUGAAAAUGAGUGAUUUUUUCUACUGCGCAGAUAACUGAAGUGGCUUUGAAAAACCUCUAAUUUCCAGGCCUGCGGAUGAGCUUUAAGAAUGGCCUGACAAUUAAUACCUAAGUGAAAAUCCACGCUCUUGCGGGCGAUACAUCAAAAGCGUAGAACAGCGGCGCAAAGCAUGUAUUUUAUUAUUCAUGCUACGUCUCAAUGGAAGAUAUUAUUUCUGGGAAAUGUCAUGAAAAAUAUAAAUUCAAUUAGCUCCCUCUAUAUACUUUGGGAGAGUAAAUUUUUCUGCAGAAAAAUGUCUCGUUCUCUACUUCCUUCGUGAGCAGAGCCAACUACGAUGAGAGUCCAUUUUAAAAUGCGGAGCUGCACGAGUUUUUCCCGGUUGCUACCAAUGCUUUUGUGGACAUUUUUUUCGAAGAGCACUCGUUCGUAUCCCGGGAUGAAUUUGGAUUUCACUCACUAAAUUUUAAUAUAUUCUUGCGAAAAAUAAGCUCGUUUAGGCUUUUCUUUAGGAAUUCAGUGUUAACGUUUUUCUCGUAAGUUCUUCAACAGUUAUGAAUGUGGCCUCUCGCGUUUUGAUGAACUCCCACCGAUACUUGACGUGAAAGGUUAUUCUUAGAACAAAGUAAACCGAAUAUCAGAGAAUCUAGUUUAAGUAUGAAUUUCCUUAUUCGUACCGUAAGCUUGUAAAAUUUGUGCGGUUAAAUUUUCCGCGGUACCUAUAGCUUUUGGUCAGUUCCAGAGUCUGAUGUACGGAUAAACAAGUCUCCGUCUCAACUUUUUCCACGGAAGGGAGAGCCCCACUCUCGCGUUGUUUUACGGAGGAUUACAAUUAGUUGAAGGAAAGCAUAUCUACGAAGAAGUAGCGUCUACUAUUGUAUCGCUCUACGAGUGAGACAAGUCUUCUCUAACAUCGUUCUACGGUCUGCGAGUUGCUCAACGGGUGAUAGACUUCACUUUUGAGUCGAUCUACACAUAUCAAGAGCCUGUUCUACGGAAAAGCAUAGAAUAAUCGAGUUUUUGAACAGACAGUAGACUGCUCUCGAGUUGUUCUACUUGCCAGUAGAGCCUC